CUCCCAGUAGCCACAGACAUAGUCUCAGGGACUGCCAGCCAAGGAGUUUUUAGUAAAGGAACUGCUACAAUGUCAGCUGGCAACCAACAAGGAAAUUAAGCUGUAUCCUCUACAGCUGCCAAAAGCUGCCCAGGCCCUGAAAUUUAAAAAUACGGACAUUCUUUUCAUAGUGCCGUUAAUUAAUGCAGCUGGGAGUGUAUCUGUAACAGUUACAAUGUGUCUUUAGGGGAAUUACUCAAUGGUGAAUUCCACUAUUCAACUAAAUUACCCAACGCUAAAUGCCCACUUGGCUAAUAGUCUGCUCUUGAGUUGCAGCAGAGUCCAUCACCAGUAGAUAAAGAUGUAUGAUUCAUUUAUUUAACAAAUAUGUGUUGAUCACCUACUAAGUGCAUGGCACAGGGCUGGGCACUGGAGUGGUAAACACGGCAGACAAGCUUUUCCCUCUUGGAGCUCACAGUCUAGAUGGAAAGAGAAGAGCUUAACAAUUAAAAUGCACUAUCAACUGUAUAAUUACAGUUGUGAUAUGGGCCAAAAGGAGUGCAAAGUAGAGGGACCAUUUGUCUGGAGAGUCCAAGGGGAGGCGACAUUUGAGUUGAGCUCUGAAGAGUGAGAAGGAUUUACUCAGGCAAGGAGCAGCAUGGAACAGAGUUCCUGGCUGGUUCAGGCUACAAAAGGGGGUGUGGCUGAGGAAGAGGUUGGAGAGGUAGGCAGGGGCUAGAUCAUGUACGGUCUACUAUACCAUUUUCAGUAAGAUCACUCUGACCACAAUGUGAAGAAGGAAUAAGGGAGGGGGAGAUGUCGGGUGAGGGACAGUUAGGAGACUGUUGCUAUAAUAUAAGUGAAAGGGGAUGCUUGUCUAAGCAGUAGAGCAAAUGGAGAGGAGUAGAUACCAACAAGACCUGGUGAUUGUUUAGCUAGGGAGGAAUCAGGGAAAGCCCCAGGUCUCUGCUUCUUCAACCAGAUGGAUGGUGGUGCCAUUUUCGGAGCUGGGAGACCCUCAGAGAAGGAGGAUUGAGAAUACCAUCCCAAGGUUCACAUUUGGUCAAGGUGGAUGUGAGGUGCCUGUAUGAUGUCCAAGUGGAGAUGUUGAGUAGGUGGUUAGCUGUAGGGUCUGGUGCUUCAGUCUGGGACUGAAGUAGCUGGUUUGGAGGUGGUAAUAAAGUCACAAGAGUGAGAUGGCCUCCUAGGAGAGUACAGAGUUCAACCAGAAGAGAGCCUUGGACUGAGCCUGGUAGAAACCUUGUCUAAAGGCUGGACAGAGGCAAACUAUCUGGCAGAGGAGGUGGAGGAGCAGCCAGAGAGCCUGGGGAAGUGGUGUGAUGGAGCCCAGGGAAAGAAUGUGUCAUAGGCAGCAGCCAACAACACUCAUAAUGGCUGAGAGACCCAAGGGAAAUGAGGACUGAAUAUAUCCACCAAACUGGGUGACCUUGGUGUCGCUAGGGCUUUUACGGAGCAGUGACUAGGGGAAUGAAGGGAUGAGAGAUAACUGGAGUGGAUUGAAGAGUGAGCAAAAGGUGAAAAAAUGAAGACAGGUACUGAGUACAGGCAACUCUUGAAAGGUUUGACUGCGAAGGGUCAGAGAGAGAAAUAGCUGGAGAGGAAUGUUAUGCCAGCAGAGGGUUUAUUUUACUAUUUAUUUAUUGACUCAUUCAUUUGUUUAUUUUAUGGUGGAAUAAAUUGAAUGUGUUUAAAUGCAGAUGGGAAAGGUUUUAUAGAGAAGAGGAAGAUGAAGGUACAGCAGAGAAAGGACAAUGGACAAUAAAGCUCCUAUGACCAGGGGAAAGGAUGGAAGCAGAGUAUGGGUGGAAAAGCUGACCUUGUGCAGGAGGCCACCUCUAUUAUAAGAGGUGAGAGGGGGAUGGGAGCAGGACUGAACCAUGCAGGUUUGAAAUAGGACGUAGAAUCCUUCCACCUGAUGACUUCCUCUUACUCUGGAAGGAGAUUGGGAGUGGGGCCAGGAGAGAAGAGAGAUUUGAAGAGAGAGGAGAUGGUUUGAUACAGCCACUGCAGAAGGUGGGAGGGUUGACAUGAACAGAGAUGCGGCAGGAUGACAAGGCAGCAAUGGCCACCCUCGUAAGGUUGGUGGCUUGAACUUGUAAGAUGCCCUUUGUAAGGCCCUCUUAAGUGAUUGCCUCCAGCAGAGCUCAGCUGUCUGCUCUGGUGCAGGCUCAAAUGAGGGAAUUGCUAGGGCAGGGGAACAAAUUCCUUUUGCCAAGGAAUUGAGAACCUUGGCAAAAGGGUAGUUGAUAUGAUGCAUGACAGCAGGACAGAAGUCAAUGGGCCAAAGGAGCUCAAUCAUCGUGGAAGGGAAGGAGGCUGAAUCAGAGAUUUGGAUGCUUAAGUUUGUGGUUCAGGAGGUGGAGAAGUUUAGGAACAUGACAAAGCCAGGAUGUGGUUGGGGGAGAGUAGAGAAGACAGUCACUGGAGAAUGUAAAGUCAAGAGAUUAAGAGGCAGGUUAUUGGAAUCAUCUGUGUGGAUAGUGAAACCAUCCAGCAGAGUGUGGGCAAGAACUGGGGUCAGGGUCAUGGUGUGAAGGCCAUGGAGCUAGGAGCUAGGAGAGUGAGGGAAUGACCAGGAGGUCAGAAGAUGGGAACCACCAGCUGGGGGGAUGAGCACUGUGGAAUGAUGGCAGGAUAGAGGCUCCACAAGGGAACGACUUUGAAAACAGAUACCAGAGGCCCAGUCUGUUUCGCCCCGGUUGUCUCUAGACCCAGGGCUCUGCAGACCACCGCCACAUCCCCUCACUUCCUUCUCUUCCCCAAGAUGUCCAUCAGGGACAAGGGCAUGUGGAGGCCUCCCUCCCUCCUCCCCCUCUUCUCCCCUGGAGGCUUUGUUGUCCAUCAAAUGAAACCCGCUGGGAGCCUGGCGGUAAUCAGGAAACCCAGGCUUGUCUCACCUCUACUACUCACCUUCUGUCUUUCCUCAGACAGGCUGUUGACCUCUUCUGUCUCAGUUUCACUGUCUGGAAAAUGAGGAUGCUUAAACACACACCCCCUCUCAGGGCAAUUGUAAGGAGUAGAGGAGAUAAGUUACUUUGACUUUGCAACAGAAAAACAUAAAACCUCAUUAUCAGAUGCAGAGGCUAGAAACCAAUGUCAUGAUUCCCCGGGGAUUUGUUCCAAAUCCCACAAAGUCCUGAUGCAGGAAGCACUCAGAAUUCCCAGUCGUGACCUGAACGAAGCUCAGGUACCAUCCUGGCAUAGACUCCUGGGAGCGCAUAGGAGGAAUUGCUAUCUGUCCUUCUUCCCAAAGAGUUCAGACAUCAUCAAUCAUUAUCACCAUGUAGAAUGAAAAGAUCUACUGGCUGUUCCUGGAAGGAGCCACCUGCUUGGUCUUUAAGAAUCAAUGGCUUAUGAAACUCACUUGGCAGACUAUCACACGGUAAAACCACCACCAGGAGGGGCAGGGCCUCCUCCUUAAACAUGACAGUCAGAGAAAUCUGAGAGCAAUGGACCCCAUGGAUAGUCUUAAAAGGGAAGCAGGAUACUUGUAACAACUUGUGGGUGUAUCUCAAAACAUGAUGAAUGAAAGAAGUCAUACAGGAGAGAAUAUACAUGAAGUUCAAGAAGAUGUAAAAACUAAUCUAUGCUGAUAGAAAUCAGAAUGCUAGUUGCCUUAGGGAUAGGAGAGAAUUAACUGGAAAGAGGCAUGAGGGAACUUUCUGAGAUGAGAGAAAUGUUCCAUUUGUUGAUUGGAAUGAUGAUUACAUGUGAGCAUACCAUUGUCAAAACUCAUCAUGCUGUACACUUUGGA